rnacentral:rRNA from 1 species
UACAGAGGGUGCGAGCGUUGUCCGGAAUCACUGGGCGUAAAGGGCGCGUAGGCGGCGCGGUAAGCGUGCGGUGAAAGCCCGGGGCUCAACCCCGGGUCGGCCGUGCGGACUGCCGGGCUGGAGCACUGUAGAGGCAGGUGGAAUUCCGGGUGUAGCGGUGGAAUGCGUAGAGAUCCGGAGGAACACCGACGGCGUAGGCAGCGCCCUAGACGAGACCUGACGCUCAGGCACGAAAGCGCGGGGAGCGAACAGG